rnacentral:rRNA from 1 species
UUUUUUUGAGAAUUUGAUCUUGGUUCAGAUUGAAUGCUGACGGCGUGGAUGAGGCAUGCAAGUCGAACGGUUAACUUAGCUUGCUAAGUUAAUAGUGGCGGAAGGGUUAGUAAUACAUGGG